rnacentral:rRNA from 1 species
CUCCGACCUUGCUCCUUUGACGUUAGCGGAGGAGGGGUGAUUAACUGUGGGUAACCUACCUAUAAAACUGGGAUAACUUCGGGAAACCGGACCUCAUACCGGAUAAUAUUUCAAACCGCAUGGUUCUAUUGCGAAAGAUGGUUUUGCUAUCCCUUAUAAAUGGCCCCUCCCCGUAUUAUCUAGUUGGUAAGGUAACGGCUUACCAAGGCGACGAUCCUUACCCAACCUGAGAGGGUGAUCGGCCACACUGGAACUGACACACGGUCCAAACUCCUCCGGGAGGCAGCAGUAGGGAAUCUUCCGCAAUGGGCAAAAGCCUGACGGAGCACCGCCGCGUGAGUGAUGAAGGUCUUCGGAUCGUAAAACUCUGUUAUUAGGGAAGAACUUACGUGUAAGUAACUAUGCACGUCUUGACGGUACCUAAUCAGAAAGCCACGGCUAACUACGUGCCAGCAGCCGCGGUAAUACGUAGGUGGCAAGCGUUAUCCGGAAUUAUUGGGCGUAAAGCGCGCGUAGGCGGUUUUUUAAUUCUGAUGUGAAAACCCCACGGCUCACCCGGGGAGGGUCUUUGGAAACUGUAAAUUUUGAGUGCAAAAAGAAAGUGGUAUUUCC